rnacentral:misc_RNA from 1 species
CAAAAAGUCCAUCAUUUCUUUUCUUUACUAAAUAAUUCGUAUAACCGUCAGGUAACUAUGCUUUCCUCCAGAAACAUAUAUCAUAUCUACCAUCCACCAUCUUCUCUUCCUCCGACGAGUCAACCACUUCCUUCUUCCUCGAGAACAUAUCUUCAAUCUCCCUCAAAGUCUUUCCCUUAGUCUCAGCGGCCUCCAUGUCCGGGUAAGUUUUCACCGUGAUGGAGCUGAAGAUGUAAUUGAUACACGUAGUCAAUCCUGACAACGCUUCUUUAACCUUCGUUGGAUACACUUCGCCCACCAUGGCGAAUGGGAUCACCAAGAAGCCAAAAGUGCUUCCAAAAAUGUACAUAAGUAUACAUAUCACAGAUCCAGAAACGAUAGAAGGUUUUCUCCUUCCUAAUUUUCCUGACAUGCACGACACUAGUAAAGUACCUACUAAUCUUGUUAAUCCUAUCAAAACUGCCCCCAAAUUGGGAUCUAUAGUGACUCCAGCGCUUUGUAUAAUUUCCACUGCGUAGUAGACGAUGAUGAAAAGUCCGGAGAAUUGCUGGAAAAAGAAAUAACCGAGCAGGAUUGCAAAAGGUACCAUGGCGUUCCUCUUGAGCAUAUGUUUCAUGAAAUUUUGUUUCUUUCGCUGAGGACGUGGUUUUAAUUCUUCGUAGAGCUGUGGCGGAGGAGGCACGUCUUUUGGGAUGCCGCGGAAUUUUUUCAACACCUGUAACGCCUCGUCUAGACGACCUCUGUCUCGUAACCAGAUCGGGGUUUCUAGGACGACGGCCAAGGUCAGUACGGCCGAGACCAGAGGAAACAGAGCGCACAUCAGAGCUACC